GGAGAGGUGCCCGAGCGGCUGAAGGGGACGGUCUCGAAAACCGUUAGACCCACUGGGUCUCGAGGGUUCGAAUCCCUCCCUCUCCG
rnacentral:tRNA from 1 species